rnacentral:rRNA from 1 species
UUCUCUUAGAAAAUAUUUUGAGUAAUACCUGCCCGGUGAUAAUUUUUAACGGCUGCGGUACCCUGACUGUACGAAGGUAGCAUAAUCUAUUGCCUUUUAAUUGGUGGCUAGUAUGAAUGGUAAAAUGUGAAUGUUUUUGUCUCUUUUAUAAUUAGUAGAAUUUAAUUUAUAAGUGAAAAGGUUUAUAUAUUUUAAAAAGGCGAUGAGACCCUAUUGAGCUUUAUGUAAAGAUUAGGAUUUUUUUGGUUUUUUUAAGAACUUUUUAUUUUGUUUGAAUAUUUGGCUGGGGCGGCAAAGGAAUAAUUAUAAUCUUCCUUAUGUUAUUUGGUUUUGUUGAAUAUAUAUUGAUCCAUUGGUUAUGAUAAUUAGAUAUAGUUACCAUAGGGAUAACAGCGUAAUUUUUUUGGAGAGUUCUUAUCGAUAGAAAAGUUUGCGACCUCGA